UUUCAAAAUCCUGGCGCAAAAACUAACAACAACCUAAACUUCAUAAUAUAUUUGGCUUCCUUUAACGUCUUAUUAGAUGACCUCAAAGUAUGUCCAGAUAACUUGACUUCAAAUCAACUUAAAAAUGGUUGCGACGGCUGCGCAACUGGUUAUAAGUUUAAUAUUACAUCUGGUCAUUGUGAAGGUAUAUAGUUUUAUUUAUUUUUAUAUUAUUAUAACUUAAUUACAUAUUCAUUUAAUAUUUUUGCUGUU